rnacentral:rRNA from 1 species
UACGGAGGGUGCAAGCGUUAUCCGGAUUCACUGGGUUUAAAGGGUGCGUAGGCGGGUUGGUAAGUCCGUGGUGAAAUCCCCAAGCUUAACUUGGGAACUGCCGUGGAUACUAUCAAUCUUGAAUAUCGUGGAGGUAAGCGGAAUAUGUCAUGUAGCGGUGAAAUGCUUAGAUAUGACAUAGAACACCAAUUGCGUAGGCAGCUUACUACACGAUCAUUGACGCUCAUGCACGAAAGCGUGGGGAGCAAACAGG